rnacentral:rRNA from 1 species
UACGGGGGGGGGCAAGCGUUGUUCGGAAUUACUGGGCGUAAAGGGCUCGUAGGCGGCCAACUAAGUCGGACGUGAAAUCCCCAGGCUCAACCUGGGAACUGCGUCCGAUACUGGAUGGCUUGAAUCCGGGAGAGGGAUGCAGAAUUCCAGGUGUAGCGGUGAAAUGCGUAGAUAUCUGGAGGAACACCGGUGGCGAAGGCGGUUCUCUGGGCAUGAUCUGACGCUGAGGAGCGAAAGUGUGGGGAGCGAACAGG